AAUGUAUGGUUACUAGUUUCUACAACAACAAGUCGUACAAUUUGCGUUGUAAUAAACGUUGACAGCUUGUUGCUCUUGUUGGUAUGAAAAGUGGCGUUUAUGGCAACACACAGUCGUCGCGUUAACGCUCAACCCACUGUUUGACAUAUUAAAGUCAAUUUAAGCUGAACAGGAGACCGAAAUGCAUGGCAGGUCUUGCAAUAACUGAUUAGCUAUGUAUGUACAUAUGUGGAAUCAUAAAAAUCACCUGAGAAGGCCCCUGUUGAUUUCCAACGUGAUUUCACGCUUACAGUUCAAUCUAUCACACGCCGGCAUUACGCUGCUGCUGUCAACAAUCAUAACAAACCCGCACAAGCAAUCAGACCAUUGAUUUACACUAAUUGACCGGCAAUAAAAUCCAAAUGAGCUGUAAAAAUUAUCCAAAUAAUUGUUGUAUUGGAUGUAAACGAACGUGUGGAGUUAUAAAAAUUCCAGAAAUAAGCUGCAUGUGCCACACACGAAAAAGGCAAGGGCGAGCCGAAAACAACAACAAAAGCAAAACAUAAAAAUUAAUAUAAAGUGAAAUAAAUAACAAGAACGAAGCAAGUCGAAAUCGGACAUUUCAAUGGAAAACGAGAUGACUUCAAAGAGGACAGCGGGGUGUUAAAGAAACGAAAUCGAAAAAAUAGAAAGCAACCUGUGGUCACACUGAUAAAUGACGGACCGCGCACCGUAUGCUUUACGACACAUUUGUGCAUAACAGCAACAUAUAUGUAAAUAAAAGGCGGAGAUAGGCUUGUUGGGAAAGUGACGCAUAGCGCAGAGCUGCGUUCGAAGGUGUCAAGGCAACGGAACGGUGGAAUGCUUGAAAUUAAAUCAUUUGUCUUCUUAUUCAUACACAUUUUGAACGAAAAGUAUACUUUUAUCUUUGGCUGUUGGAUGUUGGCUGACUGGCAGAGGGACCCUGAGGUUAAAUUUCAACAGCUAAUCUUAAAAUGGUGUGAAAAUCAUUUAAGAUUACGCCUGGUCUGUCGUUGGUUGGCGCGCAUUGUGGUUGUGGCUGUGGCCGAAGUGAAUUUGUGUUAAAAUUUUUCGUUUCUUUUAUUGUUUUUGUAUUUAUCACAUAACGAAAGAAUGUGAGGUGAGAAAUCUGUGAUGAUUAAUAGUGGCGAAAAGGGAAAAGGGUGUUGGAAUGCUGUGUUGGAAACGAAACAAUAGAAGUGUAGACAAAGCGUGACAAAAGACCAGCCAAAACUCGGCUUUGAAAGAAACAUAAGCGAAAUCGUUGUUGACGCCACUAAAAUUCAAAACAAAUGGCUAUUUAAUAGCGGCUUAAAGCGCGGCUUCCACUGAUCUCCUCAGCGCUGAAAGGAACAGAAAAACAAACGUACAUAUUAUACAUGCUCAUAACAAUAAAGACGAGGUGGGACGGGUCGACGGAAUACCGCAGUGGCACAUAAAUUAACUGCGAAAGUACAUGAGUGGGACAAAAGACGGAGAAAACGACCAGCGAUUUGCAUAAGCAGCGACAAAUGCAAAUACCAUUUUUAUACCACAACAAAAGCAACAAAGAAAUGACAAAACGCUAAAACUUAUUCAAAAAUAAAUCCUCAAGGUGGUGUUGGUGAAGAAAACUCUUAAAGAUGUUAGAAUUAAUUCGACGCAAUAGUAUCGAGGCCGCGACACACGUACACACCAUAGGCAUACACGUACAUACAUGUACAUGUAUAUACAUGUGUGUGGGACA